UAGUGAGUUUGAUCCUGGCUCAGAUUGAACGCUGGCGGCAUGCUUUACACAUGCAAGUCGAACGGCAGCGCGGGGCAACCUGGCGGCGAGUGGCGAACGGGUGAGUAAUAUAUCGGAACGUACCCAAGAGUGGGGGAUAACGUAGCGAAAGUUACGCUAAUACCGCAUACGAUCUAAGGAUGAAAGUGGGGGAUCGCAAGACCUCAUGCUCCUGGAGCGGCCGAUAUCUGAUUAGCUAGUUGGGUGAGGUAAACGGCUCACC
rnacentral:rRNA from 1 species